UGGAUUUUGACCUCCGAAUAUCUAAGUGAAGCUGACCAGAUACCCGUAAUGUCCUACUGUAAGUGCAGAGAGUUAAAAUUUCAAACAAGUAGGAUGGUGC